AUUGAACGCUGGCGGCAUGCCUUACACAUGCAAGUCGAACGGCAGCGCGGGGCAACCUGGCGGCGAGUGGCGAACGGGUGAGUAAUAUAUCGGAACAUACCCUAGAGUGGGGAUAACGUAGCGAAAGUUACGCUAAUACCGCAUACGCACUAAGGUGGAAAGUGGGGAUUCGCAAGAACCUCAUGCUCAUGGAGUGGCCGAUAUCUGAUUAGCUAGUUGGUGAGGUAAAGGCUCACCAAGGCGACGAUCAGUAGCUGGUUUGAGAGAACGACCAGCCACACUGGAACUGAGACACGGUCCAGACUCCUACGGGAGGCAGCAGUGGGGAAUUUUGGACAAUGGGGCAACCCUGAUCCAGCAAUGCCGCGUGAGUGAAGAAGGCCUC
rnacentral:rRNA from 1 species